rnacentral:rRNA from 1 species
UGAGAGUUUGAUCCUGGCUCAGGAUGAACGCUGGCGGCGUGCCUAACACAUGCAAGUCGAGCGAACAAAUUUUUAGGAAGCCUUCGGGUGGAAUAAAAAGGAGUUAGCGGCGGACGGGUGAGUAACGCGUGGGCAACCUGCCCUAUACAGAGGGAUAGCCUCGGGAAAUCGGGAUUAAUACCUCAUAAAACUCUAGUAUGGCAUCAUAUAGGAGUCAAAGAUUUAUCGGUAUAGGAUGGGCCCGCGUCUGAUUAGCUAGUUGGUAAGGUAACGGCUUACCAAGGCAACGAUCAGUAGCCGACCUGAGAGGGUGAUCGGCCACAUUGGAACUGAGACACGGUCCAAACUCCUACGGGAGGCAGCAGUGGGGAAUAUUGCACAAUGNAGCGAACAGGAUUAGAUACCCUGGUAGUCCACGCCGUAAACGAUGAGUGCUAGGUGUCGGGGGUUACCCCCCUCGGUGCCGCAGUUAACGCAAUAAGCACUCCGCCUGGGGAGUACGGUCGCAAGACUGAAACUCAAAGGAAUUGACGGGGACCCGCACAAGCAGCGGAGCAUGUGGUUUAAUUCGAAGCAACGCGAAGAACCUUACCAGGACUUGACAUCCUCUGCAUUACCCUUAAUCGGGGAAAUCCCUUCGGGGACAGAGAGACAGGUGGUGCAUGGUUGUCGUCAGCUCGUGUCGUGAGAUGUUGGGUUAAGUCCCGCAACGAGCGCAACCCUUGUCUUUAGUUGCCAGCACUUUGGGUGGGCACUCUAAAGAGACCGCCGAGGAUAACUCGGAGGAAGGUGGGGAUGACGUCAAAUCAUCAUGCCCCUUAUGUUCUGGGCUACACACGUGCUACAAUGGCUGGUACAACGGGUAGCGAAAGAGUAAUCUGGAGCCAAUCUUAAAAGCCAGUCUCAGUUCGGAUUGUGGGCUGCAACUCGCCCACAUGAAGCUGGAGUUGCUAGUAAUCGCGGAUCAGAAUGUCGCGGUGAAUGCGUUCCCGGGUCUUGUACACACCGCCCGUCACACCAUGGGAGUUGGGGGCACCCGAAGUCAGCGAUCUAACCGCAAGGAAGAAGCUGCCGAAGGUGAAAUCAAUAACUAGGGUGAAGUCGUAACAAGGUAGCCGUAUCGGAAGGUGCGGCUG